rnacentral:snRNA from 1 species
GUGCUUGCUUCGGCAGCACAUACACUAAAAUUGGAAUGAUACAGAGAAAAUUAGCCUGGCCCCUGUGCAAGGAUGACAUGCAAAUUCAUGAAGCGUUCCAUAUUUUU